rnacentral:rRNA from 1 species
GUCUACGGCCAUGCUACCCUGAACAAGCCCGAUCCCAUCCGAUCUCAGAAGCUAAGCAGGGUUGGAUCUGGUUACUACUUGGAUGGGAGACCAUGUAGGAAGACCAGGUGCUGUAGGCA